UUGUUAUUUUCAUUACAUGUUUGAAUUUUUAUCGAUUUAUAAAUAUUCGUUCAUCAUUAAGUUUACUGACUGUCGGAUCAAACGGAUUAUUUUCAUAACAAAAUCACUGAUAUAACUAGGUAUAUAAACCGGGUAUUUUCAUACCUUGGCACUCACAAGCGAACUUAAAUUCUCAGCAAUUGAAUUGUUUUCUCACAUGAUUACCAAUAAUUCCUUACAAAAUGAUAUUUAAGUUGACGUUUUUUAUUUUAUUGUUUAUACUCUUGUCAACCGUCGCAAAUGUCGAAGCUAUUGUCGGCGGCAAAGAAACAUCACUAAAUGAAUAUGUAUUUCCGGUGACCAUAAGAAUACCCGGUUCAUCACAUAUAAGAAAACAUUUGAAAAAAGAUUUUUCAUUCCAAUAAACUUCAUUUAUUUUAUUUUUAUAACAGAUUUAUCUUUGGACAGGUGGUCUCAGACAAAAAAUGGGAAUGCCAUUUUCAUUCACUGUUCAAGGACAACAAUGAUAAUAUCAUCUGUCGACUUAAGUCAAAUCAUUUCACCUAUUUAAAAU